rnacentral:tRNA from 2 species
ACCAGGAUGGCCGAGUGGUUAAGGCGUUGGACUUAAGAUCCAAUGGAUGUAUAUCCACGUGGGUUCCAACCCCACUCCUGGUA